rnacentral:rRNA from 1 species
AUUGAACGCUGGCGGCAUGCUUUACACAUGCAAGUCGAACGGUAAAAGGGUGCUUGCACCGCUGACGAGUGGCGAACGGGUGAGUAAUGCGUCGGAACGUGCCGAGUAGUGGGGGAUAACGCAGCGAAAGUUGUGCUAAUACCGCAUACGUACUGAGGUAGAAAGUGGGGGACCUUCGGGCCUCACGCUAUUCGAGCGGCCGACGUCUGAUUAGCUAGUAGGUGAAGUAAAGGCUGACCUAGGCGACGAUCAGUAGCGGGUCUGAGAGGAUGAUCGGCAACACGGGGACGGAGACACGGCCCAGACGCCUGCGGGAGGCAGCAGUGGGGAAUGUUGGACAAUGGGCGAAAGGCUGAUCCAGCCAUGCCGCGUGUCUGAAGAAGGCCUUCGGGUUGUAAAGGACUUUUGUCAGGGAGGAAAUCCCUAGUGCUAAUAACACUGGGGGAUGACAGUACCUGAAGAAUAAGCACCGGCUAAUUACGUGCCAGCAGCCGCAGUAA